rnacentral:rRNA from 1 species
CUUAAGCAAUUAAGAUAGUGGCAAACGGGUGAUUAACGCGUGAGUAACUUAUCCCGAAGUGGGGAACAACUCUGGGAAACCAGAGCUAAUACCGCAUGUGAUAGCCGGACUCAAGUCUGGUUAUUAAAGCCGUAAGGCGCUUGGUGA